rnacentral:lncRNA from 1 species
UCUGUUACCGCUUUUUUUUUCUUUAGUGCUUGCCAGUGUGUUACAUAUAUUUAUGUCACGUUAUCUGCCUUCUGUAGAGUAAUGUGCAUUCACUAAAAAUCCCUUUUACAGUGAUUAAGCCUAUGACAGCAGCGAGUGCCAGAAAGAAAGGGACCACUAAAUGUUAAAAACAAAUAUUUUAUUUAAAGGUUGCCCACCUUGCAUAGCACUUAACAGAGGAACUUCACUGCAACAGCAAAGUGGGCAUGUUAAGAUUUCUAAUCAAGCCUAGACAAGAGAUAUUGCAAUGUUACUGUACCACUGCCAAAACUGUAGCAGGGGUGUGCUGAGGCCCGAGCCCCCGGAGCGGUGACUGCUGCAGGUGGAGGAGGUGCAAGGCUGAGCAGGAGGCAGCUGCGGAGGAAAGCAAGCACCCUUCUGCAAGGUGGGCGGUAUUAAAGAACAACAAAUUCAACACUGCACGUGUACAAAUGAAACUUCAGCGAACUGCUCUUGUGUCAGCCAGGCUGGAAGUUUUACCAAGAUCACCUUCUUUCGGAGAGCAGUGAAAGCAGCUUUUUCCAGUUUAGAUAAAGUUGAUCUGGACUUGUCUGGUCCUCAACCAGUAAACAUACAGCAAAGGGGAACGUAUCGACUUGAAAAAUUAUUUAAGCUAAAUGGAGUUAUUUGCUUACACGGAGUAUAAUAUCAUGGUGGUAUCAAAAAGACUACCUUUGGAGCCUCACUUUUUGAAGUGAGGCCUGCAGGUGGCAUGCUGCUGGUCAUUUAGCCCCACAGGACGGGGAUUUGCCUCAGGUGACUCCAGUCAUGGAUGAAAUAGGUGACUAAUCACAGCUCAUCACCUGACCUGCUGAGAAGUCAGCAGAGCAAGGCUGCUGCAUCCCCAAGCAUGCCUUGUCUGCCCCAGCUAGGUGUACACCCCUGCCAGGAAAGAAAUAAGGAGGAGAGAACCUAUCUGAAAGACCGUGCUGAAAACCAAGAUGCUUGUUUUUCAACAGAGUUGAUCAGUCUGCUGAAAAACAUUGGAAAAAGGAAACGGGGAUAGCUGUGAGCACCUGAUGGCAUGGAAUAUCAACUAUAAGGUACGUGAGAGUCUGCUCUGAGGCAAGGUAUUGUGUGUGUAAGAUGAUUCUUGGUUUAGAUUUUGGAGGGAAAGCUGGGUCCACAGCCCAUUUCAUUACAUUGUUA